GGGAUGGAAUGGAAUGGAAUGGAGUGGAGUGGAGUGGAGUGAAGUGGAGUAGAAUGGAGUGGAGUAGAGUGGAGUAGAAUGGAAUGAGUGUAGCCACUUCUGAUUCAGUCUUUUGCCCUCC
rnacentral:miRNA from 1 species